rnacentral:rRNA from 1 species
UGGGACUCUUGAAGUCUUAGUGGCGCAGCUAACGCACUAAGUAGACCGCCUGGGGAGUACGGCCGCAAGGUUAAAACUCAAAUGAAUUGACGGGGGCCCGCACAAGCGGUGGAGCAUGUGGUUUAAUUCGACGCAACGCGAAGAACCUUACCUGGCCUUGACAUGCAGAGAACUUUCCAGAGAUGGAUUGGUGCCUUCGGGAACUCUGACACAGGUGCUGCAUGGCCGUCGUCAGCUCGUGUCGUGAGAUGUUGGGUUAAGUCCCGUAACGAGCGCAACCCCUAUCCCUAGUUGCUAGCAGUUCGGCUGAGAACUCUAGGGAGACUGCCGGUGACAAACCGGAGGAAGGUGGGGAUGACGUCAGGUCAUCAUGGCCCUUACGGCCAGGGCUACACACGUGCUACAAUGGUGCGUACAGAGGGCUGCAAACCCGCGAGGGGGAGCUAAUCUCACAAAACGCAUCGUAGUCCGGAUCGGAGUCUGCAACUCGACUCCGUGAAGUCGGAAUCGCUAGUAAUCGCGAAUCAGAAUGUCGCGGUGAAUACGUUCCCGGGCCUUGUACACACCGCCCGUCACACCAUGGGAGUGGAUCGCACCAGAAGUGGUUAGUCUAACCUUCGGGAGGACG